rnacentral:rRNA from 1 species
GACGAACGCUGGCGGCGUGCUUAACACAUGCAAGUCGAACGGAAAGGCCCUGCUUUUGUGGGGUGCUCGAGUGGCGAACGGGUGAGUAACACGUGAGUAACCUGCCCUUGACUUUGGGAUAACUUCAGGAAACUGGGGCUAAUACCGGAUAGGAGCUCCUGCUGCAUGGUGGGGGUUGGAAAGUUUCGGCGGUUGGGGAUGGACUCGCGGCUUAUCAGCUUGUUGGUGGGGUAGUGGCUUACCAAGGCUUUGACGGGUAGCCGGCCUGAGAGGGUGACCGGCCACAUUGGGACUGAGAGACGGCCCAGACUCCUACGGGAGGCAGCAGUGGGGAAUAUUGCACAAGGGGUGGAAGCCUGAUGCAGCAACGCCGUGUGCGGGAUGACGGCCUUCGGGUUGUAAACCGCUUUCGCUCAUGACGAAGCUUUGUGUGACGGUAGUGGGUAAAGAAGCACCGGCUAACUACGUG